UUGAUCCGAACUUUGAGUGUCUUCUGGUCACUACCAUUAAAUGAGCUGUCCAAGGAAUCAGAACAAGCAACAGAGUCCUUCUCACCGUUUGUGCUUGAGCAUAUUUCUCUUUUACAUAAAUCACCAGAUGACGGUGCAGUGGAACCAUUAUUUCGGGAGAUAGAUUCAUUUGCCACAGUUGAAGGGUAUUGACCCAUGCUCUGCAUUUAUUGUUGAUAAGGUGAUCUUGAAGUGCCAACGUUUGCAACCUUGGGUGGGCUUCUGCUUUGAGGCAAAGGUGGAGGUGAGCGCUGGUAUGUGGGCAAAAACGAACCAUAUCCACCGUAUUUUGAUCCUGUUAUCUGCGGAUACUCCUCCUUCAAAGUCUUUCUGAAAAUGCAACAAGGAUGGGUGGGGGCGCUCACGAUGUAGGAGAAGGCGACUUCGGGAUCGAGGCAGAGCGCGCCGCCGCCGCCGUCGUCGUCGGGGAAGGCCUCCCCCUCCUCCAGCUCGACGUCGCCGUGGCCCAUCACACGGAACCCCUCCUCCUGC
rnacentral:sRNA from 1 species